rnacentral:rRNA from 1 species
ACAUGCUUACAACAUAGUGUUAAGGCAAUGAAACCCAUUAGAAUUAUGGAGUUAAGUGCGCUCGGGCUAGAGUAGUACUGGGAUGGGUGAAUGCCUAAGAAGUCCUAGUAUUUUACAUGCC